GAUGAAGAACGCAGCAAAGUGCGAUAUGUACUGCGCUGUGCGCGAAAUGCGCAGUCAUUCUUCGAAUACACAUUGUCCUGUCUGGCGAAUAGCCGGCAGGGCAUCUGCUUCAGGGUUGUUGAUUAUUUUUGCGCAGCUUCGCUCAGCGUCGCAGGCGUUUACCGAGGUGUCGCCGCCACGUGCGUCUCCUCCCAUCUUGUGUCCCGUUAGCUCAUGCUUCUGUGGAUUUGGGUGUCUAGCAGUCUGGUUCAUUGCUUGCAGUGUUCCGCUUGUGCUUACCCCAAUUAUUUAUCUACCCGACCUGAAGUCAGGUGUGAGUACCCGCUGAACUUAAGCAUAUCAAUAAGCGGAGGA
rnacentral:misc_RNA from 1 species